AUAGGUGUGCUGAAAUUGGCAAACAGGAUCCGCUUAGGACGGAUUGGUUUAAUAUCCUUACAAGUUCAAGUCUUGUUACCUAUA